GAUGAACCCUAAAAAGUUCUAAAAGCACAAAGGUUUGGUCCUAGCCUUAUUAUCAAUUAUCUCUUAACUUACACAUGCAAGUCUCAGCGCCCCCGUGAGGAAGCCCUUAUUACCUACCCCAGGACAAGGAGCUGGUAUCAGGCUCUCUUUCUGCCCAUGACACCUAGUCCUUACCACGCCCCCAAGGGUUAUCAGCAGUGAUAAACAUUAUUCAUAAGCGACAGCUUGACUUAGUUAAAGAGAAGAUAGUUGGCCAACACGGUGCCAGCCGCCGCGGUUACACCCUCCUGAACUAAAAUUGAUAAUCAUCGGCGUUAAGCGUGAUUAAAGCUAACCUUAAAUUAGAGUAAAACUCCUUGCCCAGCUGUGAAAAGCUUGCAUUGAGGAAUUCUACGAACGAAAGUCACUCUAACUUACGCUUGAACACACGACAUCUAGGAACACAAACUGGGAUUAGAGACCCCACUAUGCCUAGCCGUAAAUAUCAACUCACACCUUUUAACGCCUGGGAACUACGGGCUGAGCCUAAAACCCAAAGGACUUGACGGUGUCCCAUCCGACUAGAGGAGCCUGUUCUAUAAUCGAUACCCCCCGUUAAACCUGACCUCUUUUUGCUUUCUCAGCCUGUAUACCUCCGUCGCAAAUCUGCCCUGUGAACGCCAUAUAGCAUGGUUUAAUGUCCCACCCGCCAAAACGUCAGGUCAAGGUGCAGCCUAUAAAGAGGGAAGCAAUGGGCUACAAUUUCUAAUUUAGAACAAACGAAUUACUGCAUGAAACCCAGUCAUGAAGGAGGAUUUAGUAGUAAAAAGGAAUCAACGUGUUCUAUUUAAUAUGGCCCUGGGACGCGUACACACCGCCCGUCACCCUCUUCGAAAAUAUUUAAUUAGCUACUUAACCCC
rnacentral:ncRNA from 1 species